GAACUAUUGUAAUUUUUUGCUUUGGUCCUUCGGGGCCAGAGGAUUUAAUCAAAACCUUUUAUUAUUAACCUGAGUCUGAAAAUUGAAAAAUUGAAUUAUUCAAAACUUUCAACAACGGAUCUCUUGGUCUCGCAUCGAUGAAGAACGCAGCGAACUGCGAUAAGUAAUGUGAAUUGCAGAAUUUUGUGAAUCAUCGAAUCUUUGAACGCACAUUGCGCCUUUUGGUAUUCCAGAAGGCAUACCUGUUUGAGAGUAUUUCUUCCUCAAUCCUCGGAUUGGUGUUGACUCGAGCGUUGCGAAACGCUGAGUCGAAAAGAAUUGGCAGGCAGGAAUUCAGUGCUUUACAGUGUCUUAGGUUUUACCAACUACGCUGGCCUAGUACUGUUUUCUGAGCUGGCCUUUAUAACAGUUCUUUUAAAAGUUUGACCUCAAAUCAGGCAAGACUACCCGCUGAACUUAAGCAUAUCAAUAAGCGGAGGAA
rnacentral:rRNA from 1 species